AUUAAAUAGAUAGGGUUAUUUGGGAAAUAGCCUUAUAGAAUUUUUUCAGAAUUUUUAGAAAUUUUCUGGGAAUUUUUCAGAGCACGUAAGACGGGUUUUGAGGGGAUCAAUUUCGGGUACAAAUAAGGCCUGUUUGGGAGACCUAUUUAGGUGAGGAAAUGUUUAUAAUUAUAAGUUAUUUUCUUUUCCUUUAAUUCCCUUCCCAAGCGCUGUUUCCCCCAAACCCGACGCCGAUCUCCUCCUCCUCACAUCCCGCCCGAAACCCCUCCCUCUCCGGCGAUUUCUCUGCCUGCGACGCCGAGUGCGCCACCGUCCAUCGGUGUAACCCCGACCGAGCCUCCUCUCCCUCUUCCUCCCGAAGCGUGGAGUCUCUUUUCCUCUCAUCUCCCGAUCUUUUCUUUGCCUCUUCGCAUCGAUGCCCUUCUCAUGCGAUCACACCCGAUCGCCGAUUGGUGUUCCGUUGACUCGCCGAGAGCUAGCACCGGUCGAUCGUCGAUGUCACCAUCACCGUGGGAAGGAGGGAGUUGCCGGCCUCUUCAUCGCCACUUCACUCCAUCUCUCUGUGCAGAUUCGGAGCGACGCCCUAGGGUUGGUUUCGUCCGACCGUUACUCCCUUAGAGUCAUUGCUCUGGGUGGGUAGAUCUCCGGCCAAGAAGGGAGCUCCUAGCCAUAGUUUUGGCCUCCCUGUUGCUGCACGUCUGCACAGGGUGAAGAUUUCGGUCGGAAUUCCCUAAAUCGCAGCCAUUAGAGGAGUUUCUUGGUUCACAAAGGGUACGAUUGGUAGCGGAAUCCAUAGCUGAGGAAAUUGGGUGUUCUACCAGAUUCCCGACCAAAAUUGUCCAAUGGGUGGCUGCUGGAAUGGUGGGGGGAUUGUCAGACAAGCUUGGCUAUAGGAUUUAGGAUGCUUGAUUUGCUGUGGUGAUUCUUUCUUUAGCUGAAGAUUGAAAGAAGAAGGCUAUUAAGGACUUGGUUUCGAGGCAAGCGUCUCGACGUGGGAUUUAUCUUAUCACGAUCGACAGAUUAAAGGCG